CAGUAGCCGCGGUAAUACGGAGGGUGCAAGCGUUAAUCGGAAUUACUGGGCGUAAAGCGCACGCAGGCGGUCUGACAAGUCAGAUGUGAAAUCCCCGGGCUUAACCUGGGAACUGCAUUUGAAACUGUCAGGCUGGAGUCUUGUAGAGGGGGGUGGAAUUCCAGGUGUAGCGGUGAAAUGCGUUGAGAUCUGGAGGAAUACCGGUGGCGAAGGCGGCCCCCUGGACAAAGACUGACGCUCAGGUGCGAAAGCGUGGGGAGCAAACAGGAUUAGAUACCCGCGUAGUCCCUGUCUCUUAUAC
rnacentral:rRNA from 1 species